rnacentral:rRNA from 1 species
CGGCGAACGGGUGAGUAACGCGUGGAUACCUGCCCUGAGGUGGGGGAUAACCCGGAGAAAUUCGGGCUAAUACCGCAUAUGACCGUGAGGUCAAAGGGGGGUCGCAAGAUCUCUCGCCAUAGGAGGAGUCCGCGUCCGAUUAGCUAGUUGGUAGGGUAAUGGCCUACCAAGGCGACGAUCGGUAGCCGGCCUGAGAGGGUGAUCGGCCACACUGGAACUGAGACACGGUCCAG